AUGGCCAGACGGAGAGAGUCAACCAGUGCCUCGAAACUUUCCUCCGAUGCUUCACGCAAGCGUGUCCUCGUCGAUGGAGCUACUGGAUUCCACUUGCACAAUUCGGGUACAACUCGUCGCAUCACUCUGCCAUUGGGAUGUCACCGUAUCGUGCGAUGUAUGGGCAUGAGCCACGGCAAUGGGGGAUUACAACAACGACGGCUUGUUCAGUUCCGGCUCUUCACUCCUGGCUGGAUGAACGUGCCGUUGUGCAAGACCUGCUCCAACAGCAUCUGCACCGAGCAAGGCAGUGCAUGA
rnacentral:rRNA from 1 species